CCGGAGAGGGAGCCUGAGAAAUGGCUACCACAUCCAAGGAAGGCAGCAGGCGCGUAAAUUGCCCGAAUCCUGACACAGGGAGGUAGUGACAAGAAAUAACAAUACAGGGCUCUUUCGAGUCUUGUAAUUGGAAUGAGUACAAUUUACAUCUCUUCACGAGGAUCAAUUGGAGGGCAAGUCUGGUGCCAGCAGCCGCGGUAAUUCCAGCUCCAAUAGCGUAUAUUAAAGUUGUUGCAGUUAAAACGCUCGUAGUCGGAUUUCGGGGCAGGUUUGCCGGUCUGCCGAUGGGUAUGCACUGGUAGAACUGUCCUUCCUUCCGGAGACGGCGCCUACUCUUAACUGAGCGGGUGUCGGAGACGGAUCGUUUACUUUGAAAAAAUCAGAGUGUUUCAAGCAGGCAGCUCGCUUUUGCAUGGAUUAGCAUGGGAUAAUGAAAUAGGACUUUGGUGCUAUUUUGUUGGUUUCGAACACCGAAGUAAUGAUUAACAGGGACAGUCAGGGGCACUCGUAUUCCGCCGAGAGAGGUGAAAUUCUUAGACCAGCGGAAGACGAACCACUGCGAAAGCAUUUGCCAGGGAUGUUUUCACUGAUCAAGAACGAAAGUUAGGGGAUCGAAGACGAUCAGAUACCGUCGUAGUCUUAACCAUAAACCAUGCCGACUAGGGAUUGGAGGAUGUUCCUAUGUGACUCCUUCAGCACCUUUCGGGAAACUAAAGUCUUUGGGUUCCGGGGGGAGUA
rnacentral:rRNA from 1 species